rnacentral:misc_RNA from 1 species
UUGAGAAGGUAUGAAUAGAUUGUGUUUUAGAUGAACAGAUUUAUCGUUUUAAAUGAUCCCAUGCCACAGCAUUCUGGGUUUCUGUUGCACUACUGUUUCUGUAGCUACAUGUUGCACUACUGGAUGGCCUGUAGAAAUAAUCUGUUAGAUAAGAAUUUUUUAAGAUUUCAUUCAUUGAUCAAUCUUCUUGUUAUUGGUUUGUGGCUUUGUGCCAGGAUACCUAUCAUAUACAAUUCAGGUGAGGUUCAGAGGAAAGGCAUAAUAAACAUUAGAAGUUCUCCAUGAUUUUUUUUUUUAGGCAUCUUUUGAAAAUUUUGUUGUUAUGUGUGCAUCUGUGAGAGAGAGAGAGAGAG